GCCCAGGUGGCGAAAUUGGUAGACGCAAGGGACUUAAAAUCCCUCGGAAUUUGUAGUUCCGUGCCGGUUCGACCCCGGCCCUGGGUAACA
rnacentral:tRNA from 1 species